GUGUCAGCCGCCGCGGUAAUACGAGUACCCCAAGCGUUAUCCGGAAUUAUUGGGCGUAAAGGGUGUGUAGGUGGCAGUGUUAGUCUUUUGUUAAAACCCCGGGCUUAACCUGGGAUCGGCAAAGGAAACGGCACAGCUUGAGGUUGCGAGAGGUGAACGGAACUCAUAGUGUAGGGGUGAAAUCCGUUGAUAUUAUGGGGAACACCAAAUGCGAAGGCAGUUCACUGGCGCAAAUCUGACACUGAAACACGAAAGCGUGGGUAGCGAAUGGGAUUAGAAACCCCGGUAGUCC
rnacentral:rRNA from 1 species